rnacentral:lncRNA from 7 species
AAUUAGAGAAAAAACUUUUCCGAACUUCUCAUUCCGCUUUCUGUUGCAGACUUCAGAGUCACCGUGAUCAUGCAAGCCUUUCACAUCACGUGAGGAUCAAGGGCUCAAUUGGUUGUCGUGAGAACAAAAAUGGUGACAAGCGUAUCAAGAAAAUACUGAUCUGGUCUUUAAAAAAAAAGCUGAAGGUUUCUCCCUCCCCGCUGCAACCCCCCUCCCCCUGCACGCCCUACAGUGGGCGAAGCUACAAGUUAUGAAUGUGAAACAUUUCUCAGCCAUCUAGGAUCUCGGAAGUUCGGAAGGAGGGAAAUGUAAUGGCCACAAGAGCAAAGCAGAUGUUUUAAAGAAACAGCUUAUAAACCUCUCCUCAACUGAUCUCCAAUUUGUCGGCUUUCCCAAGGGGGCCAAUGCAGCGGACGCCUG